CGAGCGAAGUUUUUCUGGUGCUUGCACUAGAAAAACUUAGCGGCGAACGGGUGAGUAACACGUAAAGAACCUGCCUCAUAGACGGGGACAACUAUUGGAAACGAUAGCUAAUACCGGAUAACAGCAUAAAUCGCAUGAUAUAUGUUUAAAAGUUGGUUUCGGCUAACACUAUGAGAUGGCUUUGCGGUGCAUUAGCUAGUUGGUGGGGUAAAGGCCUACCAAGGCGACGAUGCAUAGCCGACCUGAGAGGGUGAUCGGCCACACUGGGACUGAGACACGGCCCANACUCCUACGGGAGGNAGCAGUAGGGAAUCUUCCGCAAUGGGCGAAAGCCUGACGGAGCAACGCCGCGUGAGUGAAGAAGGAUUUCGGUUCGUAAAGCUCUGUUGUUAGGGAAGAAUGAUUGUAUAGUAACUAUAU
rnacentral:rRNA from 1 species